CACAGGUUCUUUAAAUAUGUGCCGCUGACAGUGGUUCUUACAUCAAGCAGUUCUGCACAGUGUUCUGAAGAGAGCUGUAGACACAUCGAUAUGAGACUUGUAAUUCAUUAUUUAUUUUUUAACUGGAUUUGCAUAGCUGCCCCAUGGCCUAAGUUCUCUGGGCGCCUCAUGAAACAAUUAAACCAUUAAAUCAAGCUAUUAAACCUAAAAACACAAUUAAACAUCAAUGUGUAACUGGAAAAAAGAACCAAACAAAACACACCUACAAAAUUUUCCUUGCCUGCCCCGUACAUCAUGCAAGAGACAACGGUUUGCAUGAGGCUGUGGUACAAUAGAGAUGUGGUGCCUUUGAGAUAUGGGCACUUCUUUUGUUCUCUGUCAUCUGUGGUAGAACAGGUUUUGCAAGCCUUUGAAAAGUGACAAAACUUACAAAAUCUGUUUACUAGAGACAAUUGUGGAAUGACUGUACACACCACAAACAUUGAUGCCUGCUCCAGAUCUUCUCCAUCAUUCUGAGGCAACCAUUGCAUGCCUCUUGCGAUAGACUUUGACCAGCCCCUUCUCACGCUUUAAAAACAUGCAUAUGUGCCCAGUUCCCUACAUUUAUUUCCCAAAAUUUGAUUAGGUAAUGGUUAUGGCAAAAUUGACCCUUAGCAUAAUGACAGGGUACAAUGAUCUGAGUUAUACAGGAUCUGACUCACCCAGUCCUGACGGUUAACAUCUGCUGCUAAGUUCGUCAUUCCCCUUUAAGAUUAAUGGGAGCGGAGUCUAAAUGGAAAUAUGUGAAACUUGUUUUCCUUGCUGUUCCAGUAGGUUUUGUGGAAGCCACGUGGCUGUUUAAAAAGCUUGUUUUGUGGUUUCUGAAACCAUGAGAAGACCUCUGACCUUGCCUUUAAGAGUAGUGCUCGCAGUUACUUGUAGUGCUUAAACAUCUGGGGAAGUUGAGGUGUAGCAACACUGUAUUUAUGCAUGGGGCAGUACUUAUGGUGACAGUAACUACUUCAUAAACAGUGACAGCCCAUGACUUCCUCAACUGUGAAUGAGUGCCUAUGUGCUCCUUCUUCCCCCAUCCACCCCUUUCCUGGCCUAUUGUUCUGACUUUAAGUCACUGCUCCCACGUUUUAACAUAACAAGGACUCUGACUUAACACAAUCUAGGAUCUCCAUUGUAAAGCUCGUGCGGAAUGAGGAAAUACAAGGCAUGAGUGUAUGUCUAUGGCACACAUACCAUGGUUACUGAAGCUGUGGAUGAUGGUCCAAACACAGCCAGCGAGUUUUCAAGGGGUUACUUUGCAGCUCUCUGUAAUCUGAGUCCAUUUCCAAUUUUUAGGAUUUCGUGCAUGUUAGUCUAUAGAGGUCUCAAGAGAUUUUGCCCUUCCAUCAGUUGAUGCGUUGGUGGGAAGCUUCUUUCUUCUCCUCCACCCCUUAAUAAGAACACUCAGGCUAGCAAAUACUGUGUACACCCAGCCUAAAUAACUUGUGACUCAUGAGGUCAAGCACAACCCACCAGCCAUAUAUUGUGGUCUACCAAGUACUAGCCAACUCUCUGCACUGUGUUUUUGCAAAAUUCCAGACAGGAACUCAAAACAAGUGACUUGCCACAGGUCCUGAGGGCCAGCAUAGAUGGAUGAUGAGCUGUGGUCAACUCGGUGGGUUACAACUACUGCAAAUCCAUUAUAAACCAUGCACUCCUAACAGGACCCAGUGGUCAGGGAUGGUGGGAAUUGUAGUCCCAAAACAGCUGGAGGGCCAAGUUUGGCCAUCACUGCUUUAAGCCAAGCCAUGGCUUAACUCAGUGUGGUGCAGUAGCGAAACAAUCAGAGAGGAGUAGAGUGGCUGCAUUUGCCUCCCUGGGAGCUCACAUACUUGUGCAUCCACACUAAGCCAUGGAUUGACUUAAUUGUGAUAUGCAAAUCAGACCUGUGUCUAUAGUCUUCCUAGCCUUGACAUCGCCACAGUCUUUAAAUCAGUCUCUAAACACAGAAUAUUGUUUCUCCUUUUGCACAGCCAAUCUAUGCCUAAAGGAAAGGGUAGUAUUUUUUAAAAUGGAAAGUACUAUGGCUUAUGUGUAUUGUCCUUUUUAUAUUGGCACAGAUGCUUUCCUAAGUUGGAGCCAGAUCAGAAUAUGUCUUUAAGAAAAGCAGGACUUUGUUGAGAAAAACUUGCUCAGUUUGGGUGUUGCUCUUAGCUUCAGCAAAUAGAUUUAGCCAAAGUAACCCCUGGUACUUAUGUGAUAAAGAAACCCAGCUGGUGUGGUAUUGUCUAGAUAUAAUGAGGGCAUUUUUCAUAGAUUAUACACUUCCUUUUCCAAGGCUAGCAUUUUCUUUUGUAAAUCAAAUUUCUUGUUCUCCUGAUGUCAGCUUUUCAUAUAAAUACAGCAGAGGAUUACUGUAUGAAGAUUAGUGUCUGAUCUUGGACGAAUAUGUAGGUUGGAGCUAAACUGAGAAUCCAUAAAUGUGUUUCCAUCAUAUUUUAGAUUUGGCUGAUGUGUGUGGUGUCAAUAAAGAGUUGGCAGUGUUGAGAAGCAAAAGUUGGUGGUGUAUUGUGGUUGCUCCCUGUUCCUUGGUAUUUGAAAACUGAAGUUUGAGAUAGUUAUAAAUAUGACAUAACCAGCAUUCAUAUGAAAAGCCUUGAGUUACAGUUGAAUGCUAUGCAUGUUAAAUCAGAAGUCAGCAGCAGUGAGUUCAAUGGGGCUUUAUUUCAUAUAAGUGUGUAUAUAAAAUUGCACCUUAACUCACUGUCUUGCCAACUCUGUUUUUCUUGACAGAGAUAUCUCUAAAGUUAUGGUCCAUUGUAACCCUUUCAUGUGGGAGGUAUUCGGUUAUUCUUAUGGUUAGCUGAAGCUACCAAAUUUACUGUGGGGAGAAUGUGUUGUUCUUUACAGAAUACAUAACUAGUUGGAUUAAUUGCCACAAAAAUGUUCUAACAUUUGUCUAAUUAAACAAUCCACUGGCCUUUUAAA